AUAGGAAGCGGGGAGGCCUCUCGCCGCUUUUAAAAGACCUAGUUUCUAGGUAUGCUUAAGGAGGGGCUUGCGCCAUAUUAGUUAGUUGGUAGGGUAACGGCCUCCCAAGACGAUGAUGUGUAGCUGGACUGAGAGGUUGAACGGCCACAUUGGGACUGAGAUACGGCCCAAACUCCUACGGGAGGCAGCAGUAGGGAAUUUUCGGCAAUGGAGGCAACUCUGACCGAGCAACGCCGCGUGAACGAUGAAGUACUUCGGUAUGUAAAGUUCUUUUAUUAAGGAAGAAAACAGCCCGGCGAACCGGGCUUUUGACGGUACUUAAGGAAUCAGCCCCGGCUAAUUAUGUGCCAGCAGCCGCGGUAAUACAUAAGGGGCGAGUGUUAUCCGGAAUUAUUGGGCGUAAAGGGUGCGUAGGCGGUGAAGUUAGUCAAUGGUGUAAUGGCAGCGCUUAACGGUGUCCGGCUAUUGAAACUGCUUCACUCGAGUGAGAUAGAGGCGAGUGGAAUUCCAUGUGUAGCGGUAAAAUGUGUAAAUAUAUGGAGGAACACCAGAGGCGUAGGCGGCUCGCUGGGUCUUGACUGACGCUGAGGCACGAAAGCGUGGGGAGCAAACAGGAUUAGAUACCCUGGUAGUCCACGCCGUAAACGAUGAGUACUAAGUGUCGGGUUCCCCCGGUACUGAAGUUAACACAUUAAGUACUCCGCCUGAGUAGUACGUACGCAAGUAUGAAACUUAAAGGAAUUGACGGGACUCCGCACAAGCGGUGGAUCAUGUUGUUUAAUUCGAAGAUACGCGAAAAACCUUACCAGGCCUUGACAUGUUCGUGCAAUGCAGUAGUAAUAUUGCGGAGGUUAUCACGAUCACAGGUGGUGCAUGGUUGUCGUCAGCUCGUGUCGUGAGAUGUUAGGUUAAGUCCUAAAACGAGCGAAACCCUUGUCAUUAGUUGCCAGCAUGUUAAGAUGGGGACUCUAAUGAGACUGCCAGUGACAAACUGGAGGAAGGUGGGGAUUACGUCAAAUCAGCAUGCCCCUUAUGGCCUGGGCUACAAACGUGAUACAAUGGCUGUGACAAAGAGUAGCUGAAACGCGAGUUUUUAGCCAAUCUCAAAAACGCAGUCUCAGUUCGGAUUGAAGUCUGCAACUCGACUUCAUGAAGUUGGAAUCGCUAGUAAUCGCGAAUCAGCAUGUCGCGGUGAAUACGCUCU
rnacentral:rRNA from 1 species